UGCGACCCCAGGUCAGGCGGGACUACCCGCUGAGUUUAAG
rnacentral:rRNA from 1 species